GGCGGCUCUGUCUUUUGAGCUUCAUCUCAUCUGAAAAUAGAAUCAAUAAUUGUCUUCUCCGAUUCUCAUCCUCAACGCCCACGCCCUUCACAGCUACUACUCAUAAUAUCCCAUUAAUUACUUCAUCAGUCACCCUAUUUUAUCGCUUCAGAUUCUCGCAGCUCAAAAGUUUAUAAAUCCCUCACUUUCACCUACUUCAGCAUAUUCACCAGUAAAUGCCCAGUUCUUCAAAGAUCUCUGUCUUGCAUUGGGAGAGUCCGAGUUCCGAUUCGUCUUAAUCCAUUUCUGGGAUGAGGAAGAGGAAUUCUAAUUGUCGCAUAGCUGCUUCUGAUCGACGAGUAGGCGAUGUUUUCUGCUCUUAUUGAUCAUGUACGACAGUACGAGCAUGAAUGGCAAGCAGAUGGGGAACAAUGGGCUGGCUCUUCUUACGGUAACAGGAAUGUCAAUGUGAAUUAUAAUCUAUAAACCGCAAGUUCUUUUUAAAGUAGUUUGUCUCAUGUUGUUGCUGAUAUGUUUAUGCUAUUGAUAUGAAGAUGCCAAAUGAGAUGACCAGCCAAAUAAGGUUUUGUGGAUUGGGUCCACGACAAUAACCAGGUAAAUGCCAUCAAGAAAACCUAUAGUUCAAUGACUCAAAAUGUAUAUAUGUAAAUAGUUUAGAUGUAGACAAAUGUAUCACAUAUGUAUACACAGCUACAUUGAGUUCCUUGAAACAAAAAGUUUCGGGUGAAAAAGACUUAUUUCAAAGUAAAGUCGCUCAUAACAGUAACAUAAAUGCUGAGAAAUGAGAACAAUAGGAGACAAAACAUGUACAUAACUCCUCUAUUCAUUUCCAAAUUCCAUUAUUUUCCCAUUAAUCUCUUCUCCAUCGUGGCGGCUAACUGGCCAAGGUAACAAAACAUGCUCAUACUGUUAAUAUGAAAGCCAUAUGGUUUGUUUUCAUGACUCCUGUUUUGUUUUGGUUCGUUUCUGAGCAGAAAGUCAGAUGAAAAUGCAUAUCAACUGUGGGAAAUGCAAUUACAAAAUCAUGCGAUGUCACUGAGCUAUAAGGUUUUAUGCUCGAUGAAGAGAAGAGCUUUCUUACGGUAGUGGGUACGAUGAAUCUGGUCUGCAUUGCAUAACAGCUAAGGAAGAAGCCCGAGCCAGAGUCUUACAAGCCUUGCCUUCCAUACAACAAUACAUGUGACAUGGUAACAGUUAGUACAUAUGAUAAUGGAGCUGCUGCACCAUUGUUUGAAUCCUCUUUACAUCUCUUAGCCUUCAUAUAAAAUCCUACUCCCUGUAAUCAAAACAUAAUAUUGUAUGUUAUCAUGUUUCAUAAAUUUGUCUUCUUCCUGUGAUGAAUCUUUGUUAUUGGCAUUGGCACCUCUCCUAUUUUCUAUACCAAGGCUUAUUAUUAUUUGAAAA